rnacentral:rRNA from 1 species
UUUAGAGUUUGGAUCCUGGCUCAGGACGAACGCUGGCGGCGUGCUUAACACAUGCAAGUCGAACGAUGAACCACUUCGGUGGGGAUUAGUGGCGAACGGGUGAGUAACACGUGGGCAAUCUGCCCUUCACUCUGGGACAAGCCCUGGAAACGGGGUCUAAUACCGGAUACUGACCCUUGCAGGCAUCUGCGAGGUUCGAAAGCUCCGGCGGUGAAGGAUGAGCCCGCGGCCUAUCAGCUUGUUGGUGAGGUAAUGGCUCACCAAGGCGACGACGGGUAGCCGGCCUGAGAGGGCGACCGGCCACACUGGGACUGAGACACGGCCCAGACUCCUACGGGAGGCAGCAGUGGGGAAUAUUGCACAAUGGGCGAAAGCCUGAUGCAGCGACGCCGCGUGAGGGAUGACGGCCUUCGGGUUGUAAACCUCUUUCAGCAGGAAGAAGCGAAAGUACGUACUC